AUUGAACGCUGGCGGCAUGCUUUACACAUGCAAGUCGAACGGUAACAGGGUGCUUGCACCGCUGACGAGUGGCGAACGGGUGAGUAAUGCGUCGGAACGUGCCGAGUAGUGGGGGAUAACGCAGCGAAAGUUGUGCUAAUACCGCAUACGUACUGAGGUAGAAAGUGGGGGACCUUCGGGCCUCACGCUAUUCGAGCGGCCGACGUCUGAUUAGCUAGUAGGUGAGGUAAAGGCUCACCUAGGCGACGAUCAGUAGCGGGUCUGAGAGGAUGAGCCGCAAACCGGGGACUGAGACACGGCCCAGACUCCUACGGGAGGCAGCAGUGGGGAAUUUUGGACAAUAGGCGAAAGCCUGGUCCAGCCAUGCCGCGUGUCUGAAGAAGGCCUUCGGGUUGUAAAGGACUUUUGUCGGGGAGGAAAUCCCCAGCGUUAAUACCGCUGGGGGAUGACAGUACCUGAAGAAUAAGCACCGGCUAACUACGUGCCAGCCGCCGCGGUAAAAC
rnacentral:rRNA from 1 species